rnacentral:lncRNA from 1 species
CUUAUGCACUCCAUGGAUGCUGAAUGAGUCAUUGAAUGAAGUGGAGUCUAGGUUGUGCCUCAGGCCUUCCAGUGGGGCUGGAAGGAACAGUUGUGAAGUUGUGGGGCGGCUUCUGUGCAUCGGGGGACUCUGGAGUUAGAUGGUUUCCCAGGGCUCUGAAGGAGAAGAGCUGUGUUCCUAAUAAUGAUCUCAAUGGGAAUAGAGAUUGCUGGGGACCGCAGGGGCCAGGUUGUCAUUCCCCAAAGCUUCCCCUUCAUCAUCCAAGAAGGCAUUCAGGUCUUUCUGUGCUAGGCCCCAGGUAAAGUGCUGGACUACCCAGUAAUUGGGUUCAGUAGCAGGAUGGCCUCAGAUUGAGGUCCCAGGGCCAAAGGACCACUCCUCUCCUCA